rnacentral:rRNA from 1 species
CCUACGGGUGGCAGCAGUCGAGAAUCAUUCACAAUGGGGGAAACCCUGAUGGUGCGACGCCGCGUGGGGGAAUGAAGGUCUUCGGAUGGUAAACCCCUGUCAUGUGGGAGCAAGUUAAAAAGAUAGUACCACAAGAGGAAGAGACGGCUAACUCUGUGCCAGCAGCCGCGGUAAUACAGAGGUCUCAAGCGUUGUUCGGAAUCACUGGGCGUAAAGCGUGCGUAGGCUGUUUCGUAAGGCGUGUGUGAAAGGCGCGGGCUCAACCCGCGGACGGCACAUGAUACUGCGAGACUAGAGUAAUGGAGGGGGAACCGGAAUUCUCGGUGUAGCAGUGAAAUGCGUAGAUAUCGAGAGGAACACUCGUGGCGAAGGCGGGUUCCUGGACAUUAACUGACGCUGAGGCACGAAGGCCAGGGGAGCGAAAGGGAUUAGAUACCCCAGUAGUC